AGUACAUUGUACAAAAUUUGACUAUGAUUCAUAACAGUGGUAACAGUAAAAAUUUCAAAUGGGUAAAUGAAUAAAAACAGCUCUUUAAUACCAUGGUGUAUUUCUGUGUGACAUUAGACAUUUAACUUGAGUUUUUACAAUGGGUUUACCUAAAUGCUCACGUUUCCUCUACAACCAGUGUACCUUUAAAUGUUACCAAACCUGCUGGCAGUUGCCUAAGUUCUGCCGACUUUAAAGUUCUCAGUUUGGAUGUCUGCAUCUCUCCACUAAAAGGGAAGGUCACACCUAGAAAUUUUGGCUCUUAUUAUGGGACCUGAUGCAUCAAUACUUGUUAACUAGUAAUUCAUAGUCUAUAAAUCAACAUCCCAUCAUGUCUUAUAAAGUUUACUCAUUAAAUAUUACAAAAUAUAAUAUUAAAAGUAUGACUCAUUUGAAGAGAGUAGAAUUUUGCAUCUAUUUCUAUUACAUUGAAUAAGAAAGAAAGCAAGCAAGAAAAGAGAAGAGAGAGAAGGAGGAGAGAGGGAGGAAAGAACUUUUGUACUAGUUUCUACUUAGAUUGGGUAUGUAGUGUUGAAUUUAGAGUGUAAGCUUUAUUUUAUGAACCAAUAUCCCUAUUUAGAAGUCUCAUACUAUAUUCUGUCUUUUUAAAUCACAUUCUUCCAAUGGCUGAGAUUCCCUGUGUGUUCAGUGGCCAUUCUUGCAGCAACAGUGUUCAAUCUAAAAUUAGGUUAAUUUCUCAUGAUGCUCUAAUAUAUAUGAUGUUGUAAUUAUAUUGGUUCUGACUCUAUUAAUUUAAAUUUUAUGAUAAAUUUAAGUGAUGUGAUAUGGACCUUGGCACUAACUGUAAAAGCCAAGAAAAUGAAUGGGUAAAAAAACAACCCUGAGAAACAUAUUAACUCUUAAAUUUAAGAAAACAAUCUAUUUUCAACCUUUGGACACUUUUUUGUCAGCAAAAUCCAUGUUUAUUGACUGGGGAGCAUUCCAGUGAGUUAUUCUAGAUAAAUGAAAAUAAUAAAUUUGUAAUUAAAAUACUACAGUAUUCUUUCAUUUGUUUGCAUAGCUCUUUUCCUGUAUAGCAUGAUGUAAUACAGACUAGAGAGCAUAUUUUUAUUCAGGUAUAUUUUCAGUAAAACAUAAUAUUGAAAUUUAAAAUGACUAACCUUAAGUCAUUUUAAUUUACCUUGACUUUAAAAGGUCAUUUUUAGAUUUUUUUAGUAGCUCUAGGUACUAACUUUACCAUGUGACUAAAUUGCUUCUGAAUUUUUAAAAACUAUGUUUCAUUUUUAAAGGCUUAUUUUUAAGUGGAUUAUCAUGCAAAGUUAUAGCUCAAUUACUUUCCCAAAGUUAGUAGUAGUUAUUUCAUUAACAUGUGUGUGUGUAUUAACCAGUGUGCUGAAGAAACUGUCAAUUUGUCCUGCCUAAGUAUGAAGGCAAAGCUUUGAAAAUGGUGUAGGAUGACCUGAACUUCAAUUAAGACAAAUAUUCUGUACUUUGUCAAGUUGUUGCAGUGUUAGGGAUGAGAGCCUCAGAAAAGUUUUACUGACAAGGUAGAGCUAAAAUUUCAGUGGGCAACUGGGCCAAGAAUGGCCUCAGGCUUAUUCCUUUAAUAAACAGUGGCCACAACCUUGUAGGUGCUGCAAUUCCAUAAUAGUUAGUAUGGUAAAUCUCUUGUUUUAGAAAAAUUUUGCUGCUUAAAGCUUUGCUUUUACCAGCCAAUUUUUGAUCAUUGACACUAGUUUCUUACUCUGUCUAGAAUCAGUUUACCUGGUUUUGCCAUCAGAUGAAGUAGCUGAUUAAGAACAAAAUUGUUGAAUUUGUAAAUGAUAAUUCUAGUAGAAAUGGAAAGCUUUGGAUAGCUAAUUUGGAGUGCAAAUAACAGAAUAAAUGUUAUUCAUUCAUGUAUUCAUUCAACAAACAUGUUUGAGAAUUCACUUUGUAAAAGCCACAGCCAGUGGGCUUCAUUUAUGCUUUGGAUAUAUUCGGUUUGAAAAUCUUCAUAGUAUCGCCUCUUUGUUAAUCUCCUGUGUCUUUUACUUGGAAUGACAUUAUUAUUUGUAACACAAACCUGUUCUAAUACCACGUAGGUAUAUAUACUGUGUGAAGUCAAGAAUACUAAGUUGGUAAAAUGCUCUAGAAAAUAUACAUUUAAAUCUGAGUAUCUAAUGCCUCAAGCAAAUUUGCUAGCAUUUCAGAUGAAUAUAUAUUUUUGUAACUGCCAAGUAAAUAAGUAGAAUAUAGCUUUUUGUUUAAAAAUAUUUUUAUAAGUAUUCAUCAUACAGUAUUCAUUAUUUUGAACAUUUAAAUAUCAGAUUGGUUCUAUAAAUAGUGAUUCUUCUGAAUAUAUCCAUAUUUAACAUUACAUAACACCCAAAAUGUAAUGACAAAUGUCAUCUGAAUGUGUUAUUAGAGUAGUCUGGGUUUUUUUCCUUUGUAAAAUAUACAUGUAACAUAGUUUCAGUCACUCGGUAUUUUAUGUAUGGUUAAAACAGAUCAAGUGUGUUAUGUGUUUUAUAUCAUGUAUUUUUGUCUGCAUAAAAUACUAGAAUAGUAACAUUGUACCAUAAAUGUCAAAAAUAAUAAAGUGAAAUGUAGUAUGACCA
rnacentral:lncRNA from 1 species